rnacentral:rRNA from 1 species
GAUGAACGCUGGCGGCGUGCCUAAUACAUGCAAGUCGAGCGAACGGACGAGAAGCGUGCUUCUCUGAUGUUAGCGGCGGACGGGUGAGUAACACGUGUAUAACCGACCGAUAAGACUGGGAUAACUUCGGGAAACCGUAUCUAAUACCGGAUAAUAUGUUGAACCGCAUGGUUCAAAAGUGAAAGACGUUCUUGCUGUCACUUAUAGAUGGAUCCGCGCUGCAUUAGCUAGUUGGUAAGGUAACGGCUUACCAAGGCAACGAUGCAUAGCCGACCUGAGAGGGUGAUCGGCCACACUGGAACUGAGACACGGUCCAGACUCCUACGGGAGGCAGCAGUAGGGAAUCUUCCGCAAUGGGCGAAAGCCUGACGGAGCAACGCCGCGUGAGUGAUGAAGGUCUUCGGAUCGUAAAACUCUGUUAUUAGGGAAGAACAUAUGUGUAAGUAACUGUGCACAUCUUGACGGUACCUAAUCAGAAAGCCACGGCUAACUACGUG